rnacentral:lncRNA from 1 species
AUGAACACCUGGGGUACAACUCACCAAGUCCACAACCUCGGUUCCCGCCUUCGAAAUCUGAAGGAGAGAAGCAAGGUAGCCGCCCUCCCACCCUACAAAGGGUACGUGCAUGGAGAACAGACGCUUAUGUCUCUGUCGCCCGUGGUGCUUGGCACGAUGCGUAUUAAAGUCAAUGGAGCCACCAUCCUGCAGUUUUUCUGGUGCUUCAGAACAACAAAACCGUGCGUGCAUCCCUUCUCUUCCCAGCCCGAGUCAGAGGCAGAGAUGUCGUUCACCGAGCUAAUUCCUGUAGGUCACGUCACUGAGACCUGGCUACACCCACAUGGGUGAGGGGGAGACACACGUCUGCGCUGCCCAGGGCCCUCGGCAGGCCACCAACAAACAUAACUCGGGUAAGAGAUGCAGGUGGCAAGAGGCUGUCCUGUGUCUCGGGCUCUGUAAGGAGCCGGCUUGAGGGACAGCUUGAGCUUGGCGCCCUCCCGACAGAGACGGUCAGCAGGGACCACUCGCACGAAGCAUGGUGUGAGCUGGUGGCGCAGACGCCAGCUGGGGCGUCUGGGGAAACGAAUGCUGGUUUGGUUCGGUCACAAACUCACUCUUGGGGAGUCCUUCACCUGUGAGGGUCUCCGUUUUCUCAGCUGUGCAUGGGAGUAAUAAGCCCCGUCUCCCCUCCUUCCUGAGUACUGUCGGCGUAAAGCCAGGGCCCGGACUUUGGCUUCUGAAAUCGCAGGACAGAGAGCUUUCCUCGGCCCUCCCAGGCCCUGUUCCUGAGCGCUCUGUAGCCCCUUCACUUCCUUUCUUUGCUUGGUCUUCUCGGCUGUCCGUCCGUCCGUCCGUGCAGUGGCGUCUGUACCCGACCCCAUGCACCUGCCGGCCCCGGCUGGCUGCCGCGCCCGGACGAGGUGGCUCUGCUCACUUUCCCCGGAGAGCUCGUACCCACGCUCGCCCCGACAGGUGGGGAGCGGGGGGAGGCGGGACUACACACUCUGUGUCUGGUACCCUUUGAUUAAUAUUAGAUGUGCAGCGGCUUUGUUGGUAGUUGUUUGUACGUUAAUAAUUUUUAUGUAUUCCUAGUGUAUUGACCCUUUUUAUUAUGAACUGACCCCCUUUACUCUAGCAAUAUGUCUCAUCCUUGAGUGUGUUUUCUGUGGUAUUGUCACUCCAGUUCCUUCACAAUUACUGUUUGCAGAGAAUAUCUUUUUUCAUCCUUUUAUGCCCAAGCUAUUUGCAUCCUUGAAUCUAAAGUGUUUUUCUUGCUGGCAACAUAUAAUUGGAUUUUGUUUUUCAUCAAGUUUGAGAUUCUGUGUCUUUUGAUUAAAGUGUAUAGAACGUUCACAUUGUCAAAAGUUCAUAAAUAACACAAGUAAAACCAAUGAAUUAGUAACUGGUAGGGGUUUAUUGUGCGCGCACCAAAAAGACAGACUGCAAAGCAGGACAGUCUGUAAAGCAGCGGCCCUGAAACCCACCUCGGGCAGGUGCCCGGCGCGGUGCUGACUCGGUGAGAAGGAGUGGCUGUGUAUUCUCCGCGGUGACUGGUUACAAUAUUAGAAUUUUCUUAAAUGAUAGGGAAUUGGUUAGUGAUGACCUCAUAUCAACCUUGGGAACCACCGCAAGUUUGGCUUAUGAUUUUCGGGGGCAGAAGCAAGAAAUGGCCCAGGUCAGGUUAGUCUUGCAAAAUAAGCUAAGUGAAGCUUUGCUUGUAUGACUAAGGCGCUUUCUGUCUGCUCAGGGAAUUUUCAAGGUUGGUUUCCCGUCUGCUUUUGAUUUGAACACCAUCUACUGUCAUUACCCACACGGUUGGUUCCGCAUCUCGUCUUGCUGUUGGUCGCCUGCAGUUCUGCCCUGUGUUUGUUCCUCUGCAAUUUGUAUCCAGUUUUUUAUGCUGUGAUUUUUCUUCCUCUGUUCAUGUUUAGGUAUAUUUUAAGCAACUUUAGUGAAGUAAAAUUAACAUACAAUUAACUGCUAAUGUUUAAAGUUUUGUAACUGGAUAAAUUUUGAGCUGGGUAACCGUGGGUAUCAUGGUACCCAGCCGGGCCCUGUCACCCCACUCACGCUACCUGUCCCCCACCUGUCCCCACGCUACCUGUCCCCCACCUGUCCCCUCCCUGUCGCCCCACCCAUGCUACCUGUUCCCACUCUACCUGUCCCCCACCUGUCCCCGCCCUGUCGCCCCACCCACCCCAUCUGUCCUUGCCUCGCCCAGCAGUACAAAGCCAGUGGCAUUAUUACUGUCAACAGGUAUUCAUUUGUAUAACCUAGAAUUCUGUAUAAAUGGAAGCCAACAGUAUGUGCUUAUUUCAUCUGACUUCACUCGGCAUGACUGUUUUUUUAAAUAAUAAACAAACAAACAAAC